AGCGAACGCUGGCGGCAGGCUUAACACAUGCAAGUCGAGCGGGCACUUUCGGGUGUCAGCGGCGGACGGGUGAGUAACGCGUGGGAACGUGCCCUCUGGUUCGGAAUAACUCAGGGAAACUUGAGCUAAUACCGGAUACGCCCUUUUGGGGAAAGGCUUGCUGCCGGAGGAUCGGCUCGCGUCUGAUUAGCUAGUUGGUGAGGUAACGGCUCACCAAGGCGACGAUCAGUAGCUGGUCUGAGAGGAUGAUCAGCCACACUGGGACUGAGACACGGCCCAGACUCCUACGGGAGGCAGCAGUGGGGAAUAUUGGACAAUGGGCGCAAGCCUGAUCCAGCCAUGCCGCGUGAGUGAUGAAGGUCUUAGGGUUGUAAAGCUCUUUUAUCCGGGACGAUAAUGACGGUACCGGAGGAAUAAGCCCCGGCUAACUUCGUG
rnacentral:rRNA from 1 species